rnacentral:rRNA from 1 species
AACGAACGCUGGCGGCAGGCCUCAAACAUGCAAGUCUAGGGGGUGUAGCAAUACAUCACCGGCGGACGGGUGCGUAACACGUGGGAAUAUACCUUUUGGUACGGAACAACGCAGGGAAACUUGCGCUAAUACCGUAUACGCUCUUGCGAGGAAAGAUUUAUCGCCUUUAGACGGGCCCGCGUCGGAUUAGCUAGUUGGUAAGGUAACGGCUUACCAAGGCGACGAUCCGUAGCUGAUCUGAGAGGAUGAUCAGCCACACUGGGACUGAGACACGGCCCAGACUCCUACGGGAGGCAGCAGUGGGGAAUCUUGGACAAUGGGCGCAAGCCUGAUCCAGCCAUGCCGCGUGAGUGAAGAAGGCCUUCGGGUUGUAAAGCUCUUUUGUCAGGGACGAUAAUGACGGUACCUGAAGAAUAAGCCCCGGCAAACUUCGUG